UACGUAGGGUGCGAGCGUUAAUCGGAAUUACUGGGCGUAAAGCGUGCGCAGGCGGUGAUGUAAGACAGUUGUGAAAUCCCCGGGCUUAACCUGGGAACUGCAUUUGUGACUGCAUUGCUGGAGUGCGGCAGAGGGGGAUGGAAUUCCGCGUGUAGCAGUGAAAUGCGUAGAUAUGCGGAGGAACACCGAUGGCGAAGGCAAUCCCCUGGGCCUGCACUGACGCUCAUGCACGAAAGCGUGGGGAGCAAACAGG
rnacentral:rRNA from 1 species